rnacentral:misc_RNA from 1 species
UCAAAACAGCGGCCUUCGGGCCUCGCUGCACCCUUGUCUUUUGCGCACCGUAUUGUUUCCUCGGCGGGCUUGCCUGCCGGUUGGACAUCAUAAAACCUUUUUGUAGUUGCAAUCAGCGUCGGAAAAACAAUAAUUAUUA